GACGGACGCUGGCGGCGUGCUUAACACAUGCCAGUCGAACGGAAAGGCCCUGCUUUUGUGGGGUGCUCGAGUGGCGAACGGGUGAGUAACACGUGAGUAACCUGCCCUUGACUUUGGGAUAACUUCAGGAAACUGGGGCUAAUACCGUAUAGGAGCUCCUGCUGCAUGGUGGGGGUUGGAAAGUUUCGGCGGUUGGGGAUGGACUCGCGGCUUAUCAGCUUGUUGGUGGGGUAGUGGCUUACCAAGGCUUUGACGGGUAGCCGGCCUGAGAGGGUGACCGGCCACAUUGGGACUGAGAUACGGCCCAGACUCCUACGGGAGGCAGCAGUGGGGAAUAUUGCACAAUGGGCGGAAGCCUGAUGCAGCAACGCCGCGUGCGGGAUGGCGGCCUUCGGGUUGUAAACCGCUUUCGCCUGUGACGAAGCGUGAGUGACGGUAAUGGGUAAAGAAGCACCGGCUAACUACGUG
rnacentral:rRNA from 1 species